GCCAACGUAGCUCAGGGGUAGAGCGGGCGUUUCAUAAGCGCCAUGUCGCAGGUCCGAGUCCUGCCGUUGGUA
rnacentral:tRNA from 1 species